UACGGGGGGGGCAAGCGUUGUUCGGAAUUACUGGGCGUAAAGGGCUCGUAGGCGGCCAACUAAGUCAGACGUGAAAUCCCUCGGCUUAACCGGGGAACUGCGUCUGAUACUGGUUGGCUUGAAUCCGGGAGAGGGAUGUGGAAUUCCAGGUGUAGCGGUGAAAUGCGUAGAUAUCUGGAGGAACACCGGUGGCGAAGGCGGCAUCCUGGACCGGCAUUGACGCUGAGGCGCGAAAGCCAGGGGAGCAAACGGG
rnacentral:rRNA from 1 species